UACGGAGGGUGCAAGCGUUAUCCGGAUUCACUGGGUUUAAAGGGUGUGUAGGCGGAUAUUUAAGUCAGUGGUGAAAUCUCCGGGCUCAACCCGGAAACUGCCAUUGAUACUAUUUAUCUUGAAUUCUGUUGAGGUGGGCGGAAUACAUCAUGUAGCGGUGAAAUGCUUAGAUAUGAUGUAGAACACCGAUUGCGAAGGCAGCUCACUAAACAGACAUUGACGCUGAGGCACGAAAGCGUGGGGAUCAAACAGG
rnacentral:rRNA from 1 species